CUCGAUAGCUUGCUAAUUGGGAAAGUUAGUGGCAAACGGGUGAGUAACGCGUAGGCAACCUGCCCUUCAGAUGGGGACAACACUUCGAAGAGGUGCUAAUCCGAAUGACGUAUCCCUUCCGCAUGGAGAGGAUACCAAAGGCCGGGCAACCGGUCACUGAAGGAUGGGCCUGCGUCUGAUUAGCUAGUUGGUGGGGUAACGGCCCACCAAGGCGACGAUCAGUAGCCGGUCUGAGAGGAUGAACGGCCACAUUGGGACUGAGACACGGCCCAAACUCCUACGGGAGGCAGCAGUGGGGAAUCUUCCGCAAUGGGCGCAAGCCUGACGGAGCAACGCCGCGUGAGUGAAGAAGGUUUUCGGAUCGUAAAGCUCUGUUGAGAGGGACGAGAGGCAAGGCUAGGAAAUGAGCUUUGUAGGACGGUACCUUUCGAGGAAGCCACGGCUAACUACGUG
rnacentral:rRNA from 1 species